GAUCCUGGCUUAGGACGAACGCUGGCGGCGUGCUUCAUACAUGCAAGUCGAACGAGAAGCUGACUUCGGUCAGUGGAAAGUGGCGGACGGGUGAGUAAUAUGUAGAGAAUCUGCCCUUGAGUGGGGGACAACAGAGGGAAACUUCUGCUAAUACCCCAUAUGAGCUAACUUGAAAUAGCUAUCUUGAAAACUCCGGUGCUCAAGGAUGAGUCUGCAUCUGAUUAGCUAGUUGGCGGUGUAAUGGACCACCAAGGCGACGAUCAGUAGCUGGUUUGAGAGGAUGAUCAGCCACAAUGGGACUGAGACACGGCCCAUACUCCUACGGGAGGCAGCAGUAGGGAAUUUUGCGCAAUGGGCGAAAAAGCCUGACGCAGCAACGCCGCGUGAACGAUUAAGCCCUUCGGGGUGUAAAGUUCUGUCAGUAGGGACGAAUUUUGACGGUACCUACAGAGGAAGCACCGGCUAACUCCGUGCCAGCCGCGGC
rnacentral:rRNA from 1 species